GAACUGUUGAGAAGUCCCACAAUAGGACGAAACGGCCGUUCAGUGC
rfam:Schistosoma mansoni strain Puerto Rico chromosome 5, complete genome